CUGAAGUCCCGCCCCUCUGCAGAGCCCUGUGUAAGGUCCUCCCUCUUCUAGCUCCACCUCUUUGCAGUAGAAUCCGGGGAGGAGCUCCGCAGCCCUUACUGCGGUCUUUCUUUCCAGUGGCCUCGGCCGGUGAGGUCAUGUCUUUCCGAGCUCUGCUACACGUGGGGGGUAACCAAAUGAGCUGGUGGCCCCCCUAAGAAAUAAAAAGACCAUUCACAACAAGAGAUUCAGGACCAGCACCUGUAUGUGGACUUCAGGUGACUUGUGAUACUACUCCAGCGUGGCUACAAGGCUUAUUGAGAACAGGACAGAAGUCCCAGCAAAGGAACAAGGAUGAAAAGCCCAGAAAUCGUCUCACCUCCCCACCCCUAUGUAUGAAGCUCCUCUGGGUGGCAGAGGAAUCUGAAGUGGAGCGGCCAGAGCUGGGAGGAGCCAGUUGCUUGUUGAAGAAUAAUUACUAGUUCUCUUAUGUUUUUUUGUGCCAGUACACAUGCCCUGAGGGGGUUGGAUAGUUUAAUCAUGCAAAUUAAAAUCAUCUAAUAGGAUUUGCUACUUUGAGAAGUAAAAGUAAUUACUCAUCUAAUCCCUGUUGACUUGAUUAUUGUUAUUUUAAACUAUUUACCUUCCUGGUAAUAAUGAGUGACUGAAAUGACAUUGAAAUAUUAAAUAAACCUUAUAUAGAAACUUG